GACGAAGCCCUGGGUCGCAAACGGGAUUAGAUACCCCGGUAGUCUAGGGUGUAAACGCUGCAGACUUGGUGUUGGGGGCCCUUCGGGGGCAUUCAGUGCCGGAGAGAAGUUGUUAAGUCUGCUACUUGGGGAGUACGUCCGCAAGGAUGAAACUUAAAGGAAUUGGCGGGGGAGCACCGCAACGGGAGGAGCGUGCGGUUUAAUUGGAUUCAACACCGGAAAACUCACCAAGGGAGACCAUCACAUGAAAGCCAGGCUAAUGACUUUGCUUGAUUCUUGGAGAAGUGGUGCAUGGCCAUCGUCAGUUCGUACUGUAAAGCGUUCUCUUAAGUGAGAUAACGAACGAGACCCUC
rnacentral:rRNA from 1 species